CCUACGGGUGGCUGCAGUGAGGAAUAUUGGUCAAUGGCCGGAAGGCUGAACCAGCCAAGCAGCGUGAAGGAUGAAGGUGCCAAGCAUUGUAAACUUCUUUUGUCUAGGGAUAAAAUCUUGCACGUGAGCCUGUUUGUAGGUACUUGAUGAAUAAGCAUCGGCUAACUCCGUGCCAGCAGCCGCGGUAAUACGGAGGAUGCGAGCGUUAUCCGGAUUUAUUGGGUUUAAAGGGUGCGUAGGUGGAGUGUUAAGUCAGUGGUGAAAGUUCGGGGCUCAACCCUAAGAUGGCAUUUGAAACGGGCAGUCUUGAGUCGAGGAGAGGUGUGCGGAAUGCGCGGUGUAGCGGUGAAAUGCUUAGAUAUUACGAAGAACUCCGAGUGCGAAGGCAGCAUACUGGCGGGGAACUGACACUGAGGCUCGAAAGCGUGGGUAUCAAACAGGAUUAGAUACCCUGGUAGUC
rnacentral:rRNA from 1 species